rnacentral:rRNA from 1 species
UAGAGUUUGAUCCUGGCUCAGAUUGAACGCUGGCGGCAGGCCUAACACAUGCAAGUCGAGCGGUAGCACAGAGAGCUUGCUCUCGGGUGACGAGCGGCGGACGGGUGAGUAAUGUCUGGGAAACUGCCUGAUGGAGGGGGAUAACUACUGGAAACGGUAGCUAAUACCGCAUAACGUCGCAAGACCAAAGUGGGGGACCUUCGGGCCUCAUGCCAUCAGAUGUGCCCAGAUGGGAUUAGCUAGUAGGUGGGGUAAUGGCUCACCUAGGCGACGAUCCCUAGCUGGUCUGAGAGGAUGACCAGCCACACUGGAACUGAGACACGGUCCAGACUCCUACGGGAGGCAGCAGUGGGGAAUAUUGCACAAUGGGCGCAAGCCUGAUGCAGCCAUGCCGCGUGUAUGAAGAAGGCCUUCGGGUUGUAAAGUACUUUCAGCGAGGAGGAAGGCAUUAAGGUUAAUAACCUUAGUGAUUGACGUUACUCGCAGAAGAAGCACCGGCUWACUCCGUGCCAGCAGCCG